UAGGGGGCAAGCGUUAUCCGGAUUUACUGGGUGUAAAGGGAGCGCAGGCGGCAGGGCAAGUCAGAUGUGAAAACACGGGGCUCAACCCCGGGAGUGCAUUUGAAACUGUCCGGCUGGAGUGCAGGAGAGGCAGGCGGAAUUCCUAGUGUAGCGGUGAAAUGCGUAGAUAUUAGGAGGAACACCAGUGGCGAAGGCGGCCUGCUGGACUGUAACUGACGCUGAGGCUCGAAAGCGUGGGGAGCAAA
rnacentral:rRNA from 1 species